rfam:Coraliomargarita sp. CAG:312 genomic scaffold, scf90
GGGCCGAUAGCUCAACGGUAGAGCAGUUGCCUUUUAAGCAAUUGGUUCCGAGUUCGAAUCUCGGUCGGCCUA